rnacentral:misc_RNA from 1 species
GAGUUGUCUUUUGACCUAAAUGUCUAUUAAAAAUAAAUGAUAUUAAACUUUGAAAAUGUCAUAAAAAUUAAAAUUGUGGUACAUUAUAGGAAUAGUAAAAGAAUUGAGGCAAAAUGUGUAAAUUGAGAAACUUUGAAUAUUUAAACAUUAAAAUUCACCUAAGUGCUCUACUAACUCAAUCCUUGGGACACCUAUAUAAGCUAAAGUGAGCAGAUUUCAUAUCAUCUUCAAUAUUUCCUCACCUUGUCGAAACCAUUUCCACCAUUAAACCUCCAUUGCCAUACCUCAACCAAACUCCAUGCUCAUCACUUUAAGCCACAAUUUCUUCUAAGCUUCUUCAUUAAAGUUGGAGUACACACCUUGGGCAGCAUUUUGGAAGCAAAAAGGGAGAGAUUUGAAGAAGAUUUAACAAACUUCAAAGAUAGGUAAGUGCUUAUUUUCCAUUGUUUCUUCAUUAAAGUUGUAGUAGAGGUUGUGGGUUGUUAGAUUAUGGAAGAAAUUAUGAGAUUUGGUGAGUUAUUGAAGUGUACCAUUUUGGGCAGCCAUGGAAGUAUAAGGUAAGUGGUUUGUUCUUAUAUGAAUUUGAUGGGUAAUGAAGUUAAUUAGUGUACUUAUAUGUAUAAGAGUGAUUUACCAUGUAUAAAGUGUGAUUGUAAGUUGAAAAGUGAUAAUGGAAGUUUGAUAUGUACGUGUAUUGUUUUGGCAGCCUCAUGAUGAAGAUUGAAGUGUUUAAAUUCAUGAACAGGUUGUUGAAUUAUGGUAUUAAAAGUGGCAGCUUAUGUGUAUAAUUGAGUAGAGAAUAAAUGUGUAAUAAUUAGAAGUGUUUAUGUGUAUAUAUUGUUGGGUUUGGACUUUGUGAAUUACAAUUGCAUUGGGUGUAUUGUGAAGUUGUUGUAUUCUGUCCAAAGUGACCUAUGACGUAAAGAAAUGAAUAGUUAUGGUUAGUGUCAAAUGCAGAAUGGUUUGGGAAAGUGAAGAUGUAGUUGGUAAAUAUGUGUUUGGUUUGUUGUUUGAAAGACAUAUAGAGGGCAGUGUGCAAAUGAGCCUAUAACCCUAAGUGUGUGACUCCAAUUGGUAUGAGGGCAAUUG